rfam:Myotis lucifugus cont2.37885, whole genome shotgun sequence.
GGCAGUUCUUGGGUGAUGCACCCCGGAAUCAGGCUCCCUCCUCUCUGGUUCUGGUGUGUCAACUGAGAACCACA